ACAACAACAACGAUGAUGAAGACGACGACGACAACGACGAAAACAACGAUCACGAUGAGAACAACGACAUCAUCGAAAACAAGAAUAACAACGACAACAACGACAACAGCGACAACAACGACAACAACAAUAACAAAAACAACGACGACGACGACGACGGCGACAACAACAACAACAACAACAACAACAACAACAACAACAACAACAACAAAAACAACAACGACGACAACAACAACA
rnacentral:lncRNA from 1 species